UACGGAGGCUCCGAGCGUUAUCCGGAUUUAUUGGGUUUAAAGGGUGCGUAGGCGGCCUAUUAAGUCAGGGGUGAAAGACGGUAGCUUAACUAUCGCAGUGCCUUUGAUACUGAUAGGCUUGAAUGUACUUGAGGUAGGCGGAAUGUGACAAGUAGCGGUGAAAUGCAUAGAUAUGUCACAGAACACCAAUUGCGAAGGCAGCUUACUAAAGUAUGAUUGACGCUGAGGCACGAAAGCGUGGGGAUCAAACAGG
rnacentral:rRNA from 1 species